UACGUAGGGUGCAAGCGUUAAUCGGAAUUACUGGGCGUAAAGGCCGCGUAGGCGGCCUGUUAAGUCGAACGUGAAAUCCCCGGGCUCAACCCGGGAACUGCGUCCGAUACUGGCAGGCUUGAAUCCGGGAGAGGGAUGCGGAAUUCCAGGUGUAGCGGUGAAAUGCGUAGAUAUCUGGAGGAACACCGGUGGCGAAGGCGGCAUCCUGGACCGGCAUUGACGCUGAGGAGCGAAAGCCAGGGGAGCAAACGGG
rnacentral:rRNA from 1 species